rnacentral:rRNA from 1 species
AGUGAACGCUGGCGGUAGGCCUAACACAUGCAAGUCGAACGGCAGCACGGUAAGAGCUUGCUCUUACGGGUGGCGAGUGGCGGACGGGUGAGGAAUACAUCGGAAUCUACUUUUUCGUGGGGGAUAACGUAGGGAAACUUACGCUAAUACCGCAUACGACCUACGGGUGAAAGCAGGGGAUCUUCGGACCUUGCGCGAUUGAAUGAGCCGAUGUCGGAUUAGCUAGUUGGCGGGGUAAAGGCCCACCAAGGCGACGAUCCGUAGCUGGUCUGAGGGGAUGAUCAGCCACACUGGAACUGAGACACGGUCCAGACUCCUACGGGAGGCAGCAGUGGGGAAUAUUGGACAAUGGGCGCAAGCCUGAUCCAGCCAUACCGCGUGGGUGAAGAAGGCCUUCGGGUUGUAAAGCCCUUUUGUUGGGAAAGAAAAGCAGCAGGUUAAUACCCCGCUGUUCUGACGGUACCCAAAGAAUAAGCACCGGCUAACUUCGUG